rnacentral:lncRNA from 1 species
UGCUCAACCAACAAGUCAGGUAAGUACUUGAUCUUCAACUUCUCCUUUGAUUUAGCUAAAGCAUUUACUGGUGGCUCAAGUAGGACAUCUUCGAGACCCUUUAAGGCCACUGUCUUGGCCUCGGCUGCUAAUAGCUUUCUCUUCGGUGAAGAAUCCAACAACUCAUUGGCCAUGCUAAGCUUCCUUAAUACAACAAUGAUAGAGCCAUGUUGUGGCCUUAGAUGCACAACUCUGUAAUGAGAAGGUUUUCUAAAAUUGGCUUUUGAUGGCUUCAUGCUCAAUGGAAAAGCCACAAUGCCAUUAACUUUCAGGAUGCUAUCAGCAAACUUAGCAUCCUCAAAGCUAGGUGUGAACACAAAAUCAUAUGACUCAUUUGGUAAAGAACUUAUUACCUCCAAAUCAGAGUCCUUAACCACAUCAACUUCAUUGUUCAAAUGAGCAGCACCAUCAAAUCCAUGUGGAGAGCUCAUAAUAAGAGCCUUGUCUUCCUUUUUGACAAUACCCUCUUCUUUCAAAUCAUGCAGAAUCAAAUUCAAUGCCUCAGCAUUCAUGGGCUCAAAUGCAGAACCACCAAAUCCAGAAGAAGCAAUUGAAUGUGAACUUGAAAAGAAUCCCUUAAGAAUAGACCCAGAGAAAAGUAACAUCAGAAAAACCAUAGCCGAAAACAAAAACCUUGACACAAUGCUGAAAGCACGUGCAUCAGCAAUCCGAAUCACAAAAACAGUAUCAGAAUUGAAGCCAUUCAUAUGCUUCAUCUUGCCCCAGAUCCUAGCCUUAUUAUAUUCCAUUGAUAUCAAGUUCAACUAUGCAAGACCCUUGUCAGAAACUUCGAAUAAUGUACUUAAAGAGCUUAAAUCUGCUUGAGUAAAUUGAUGGAGACCCAGAUGCAUAAAGGUGAAGAAGAUUGCAAUAAUAAGAAAUAAAAAACCAACAAUUCAAAAAGAUUGAAUCUUUAGCGGGUAGAAAAUCUAGCAGCGGUGUGGUUUCCACCCACAAGUGCUACACGGGAACUUUGAUUUCUACAAUAUAACAGCAUCAACUGCAUCAUCCUUUCUACCUCCAUUGUGAUGUUCUUUCUCAAUAAAUUAUGGCGUUUCCACUGCUUCACCCAGUUACAGCCAUGUAAAUGUGAAACUCAGGAACCAGCAAUGGAAAAAAAAUAAGAAAUGAACCCUUUGCAGAGGAGGAAGAAAGAGAGGAUUAGAUUGAUGUUGGAAGAACCAAAGUUUCCAACUUUUUGUGUUUUGUUUUUAGUUUGUGGAUGUGAAUGAGAAAUUGGAGUAUGAAGGGGAAUUUAUUUAGGAAGAGAACAAUGAUGGAGGUAAAGUAUUUGCUUUAUUUAGCAGUGUUAUGACUUAUGUUAGUAAAGAACAUGAACUUUGUUUAGUUUUUGUUAUAUUUAGGAUUCAUUAUGAGGUUGGAUCAGUUCUCAUUGAAUUCAAUGGUUGGCUG